UAGAGUUAGAUCCUGGUCCGGGAUAAACGUUGGUUCCAGGCUAACCCCAUCCAGUGCCGGGGCCGCCUUUUCCUAAGCUUUCUAAGGAAGAGGGCGCCCGGCGCCGCGGUGAGUACCGCGUAUCCACCCUUCCCAUGUCCACGGGAUAGCCCGUCGAAAGGCGGAUUAAUACCGUAGGGGGUCACAUGCGGGCAUUUAAGUGUGACGAAAGGUUUAGCGGACAUGGAUGGGGAUGCGUCCGAUUAGCUAGUUGGCGGGGUAACGGCCCACCAAGGCAACGAUCGGUAGGGGUUUUGAGAGGAAGGUCCCCCACAUUGGAACUGAGACACGGUCCAAACUCCUACGGGAGGCAGCAGUGAGGAAUAUUGGUCAAUGGGCGAGAGCCUGAACCAGCCAAGUAGCGUGCAGGACGACGGCCCUAUGGGUUGUAAACUGCUUUUAUAAGGGAAUAAAGUGAGUCUCGUGAGACUUUUUGCAUGUACCUUAUGAAUAAGGACCGGCUAAUUCCGUGCCAGCAGCCGCGGUAAUACGGAAGGUCCGGGCGUUAUCCGGAUUUAUUGGGUUUAAAGGGAGCGUAGGCCGGAGAUUAAGCGUGUUGUGAAAUGUAGACGCUCAACGUCUGCACUGCAGCGCGAACUGGUUUCCUUGAGUACGCACAAAGUGGGCGGAAUUCGUGGUGUAGCGGUGGAAUGCUUAGAUAUCACGAAGAACUCCGAUUGCGAAGGCAGCUCACUGUAUCGCGACUGACGCUGAAGCUCGAAAGUGCGGGUAUCGAACAGGAUUAGAUACCCUGGUAGUCCGCACGGUAAACGAUGGAUGCCCGCUGUUCGGCCUUUCGGCUGAGGGCCAAGCGAAAGCGU
rnacentral:rRNA from 1 species